CCCCUCCUUCGUUCUUUCCUCCCCACCUGGGCCGGGCUCUGGUCUCCCUGCAACGUCCUCAGGCGACGCCUGCACUAGCCCCUACCCGGCGUUGAAGAAGUCUCACCACCACUUCCGCCAAUUCUUGGUGUCGGUGUCUAGCAGCCUCAGGUCUAGAUCCAACGUCAUCCAUACACGUGAGAGAAAAAGGAAACUGUUCAUCGUUCUUGAAAUUCUCCGGCUCGAGAUCGCUUGUUCUCCUCCGCCAGUGUGGUUUAACUUCUUGACACCGUUGCUGAUCUUGUCCAGUGGUCUGGUUCGCCUUCUCGUUGAUAUUGUCGAGGCCUUAUUGCUGUUGUUGAUCUCUGGCUCCUGUCCUUCUACGAACGCCGGCACGGCUGUCCCUCACCAGUCACUACGCUUGCUGCCAGCUUGUCCAUCGUGCACCUCUACCUCUCCUGCUGGCACGUCCCGUCACUUGGCAUCACUGCCCAUCACCAACGACUUGCCGCCACCCCUCAUUGUCUGACGGUCGCGUGCGCGUGGCCAACCCAGCAAAAACAGCUGCGAUCAGUCCUCCGCAUUCUUGGCAUCCCUGUUGCAGCAUCCAGCAGUUCCGCUGUCAUUGUUCCCAACAGUCCCGGAAAUCUCUGGACCUCUUCC
rnacentral:lncRNA from 1 species